rnacentral:lncRNA from 1 species
AACAUCAGAAAGAUCUUAGCAGCUCUACUACAGUGGAAGACCUAUGGACUUAAUAUCGGUUAAUCAGGUCUUAGUGUUUGCAACUUGAGCUCUUCAUAAGAGGUAAUCGAACAAUUGGCCAGGUAAACAGGUGGGAGGCUCCCCUUACUCAGAGAGUAAGGUCCUAAUUAAGUAACCACCUUUCAUGCUUUUCUAGACACCAAUUAGAUCAAUUAAUCUAAUAUGACUCACUCAUGUUGGUUCACUCUCGACUUGAUUGAGGAGAUUUUAGUUUAGGUCUCAUUUGGAUUGGUCUAUU